rnacentral:rRNA from 1 species
GAUGAACGCUGGCGGCGUGCCUAAUACAUGCAAGUCGAGCGAACAGACGAGGAGCUUGCUCCUCUGACGUUAGCGGCGGACGGGUGAGUAACACGUGGAUAACCUACCUAUAAGACUGGGAUAACUUCGGGAAACCGGAGCUAAUACCGGAUAAUAUAUUGAACCGCAUGGUUCAAUAGUGAAAGACGGUUUUGCUGUCACUUAUAGAUGGAUCCGCGCCGCAUUAGCUAGUUGGUAAGGUAACGGCUUACCAAGGCAACGAUGCGUAGCCGACCUGAGAGGGUGAUCGGCCACACUGGAACUGAGACACGGUCCAGACUCCUACGGGAGGCAGCAGUAGGGAAUCUUCCGCAAUGGGCGAAAGCCUGACGGAGCAACGCCGCGUGAGUGAUGAAGGUUUUCGGAUCGUAAAACUCUGUUAUUAGGGAAGAACAAAUGUGUAAGUAACUAUGCACGUCUUGACGGUACCUAAUCAGAAAGCCACGGCUAACUACGU